GGGAGAAAAGGGUAAAAGUUUGGAAAGAAGAGUAGUUGUUGUUUGUGCCGCGAAAAAGAGAAGAAAGAGAAAAGGUCAUCCUCGGCGGAACAGGCGCGGAGGUGAAUCGCCAAUCAACAACAGAUCCACACCACCAUUCACACCCCACUCCAAUUUCUCUUCUCAUUCUUCUCAUCUCUUCAUACCUUUCACCUUUCAAUUUCUCGCGCUCAAACUCUUCCACCCAAUUCCGUUUCCCUCAUUUCUCAAUUCCACCUUCUCACUCUCUUCUAUGCCGCUUCUCAUAAACCCUAACGCAACGUUUCUCUUCAAUUCCCUUUUCCUUUAGGGUUUCGCCCAAUCCCCAAUUCUCCCAACCUUCACUGGACAUGCUCGUUCUCCGAUGGCCGUCGUAACUAGCAACGGCAAGCGCCGCCCGAAUUGGCUCUCUGCGGCUCACCACCUUCCAUCUCCCAAUUCCAAAAGGCUCAGACUGUCGGCAACAUCCGACAACCACGCGGACCCUGUGUUAUCCUCGAGUAGUAUCGUUUCCAGAAUUUCCAAAUACCCUGAAGCCAAGCCACUGGGGCGUAGGGAGGUUCACGCGCCGUGUAGACCCCGUAAGUUUGAUUUUCCUACGUUUAAUAGAAUGAAAUCGAGCUUGAAUGCUAGUAGUAGUUAUUAUGAUCGCAAGGAAGAGAUUGUUAACGAUGUCGGCAACACGCUGAGUGAAAAUUACGAAAGGGCGAAAAAAUCAGCGUUAGCUAGCAUUAGGUUUGAGGAAAAGGGUAAGGAGGUGAUAGAAGUGGAUGAUGGUAGUCCCAAGGGCAUGGUUUCCGAAGAUUCGGGCGUGGAGGAGGUUCGUUUUAGGGAAGAUGGACGGGAUGUGCGCUCUGUGGUGACGGAGCACAAGUGGCAAGAGGGUGAUUUGGUUGUGACUGAAGUGAAGGAUUUGAAAGCUAAGGAUGUGCGUGGCGGUCCUCAGCAGCAGUCAGCUUCAUCUGUGGUUUCGGAGUUGACUAACGGCGAUUUGAAUGUUGUUAAUGCUGUGAAGAUGUUCGGCACUCUAUCUUUAACUCCUGAGCGUGAUCUUUCGGAUGUUCAUGCCUACAAGAAGUUGCUUGAGGCUGUUGACAAGCGCUCGGAUACGAUUAAGAGGCUGUCGGCUGAAAUUAAGCUUAAUGAGAAGCGUAGGUCCACAUUUGAAUUGUUGCGCCCGAAGAAGGAACUAGUACAGGAAGUGCCAUUGGAACCUUUUAUUCCUCUUACUGAAGAUGAUGAGUUAGAGGUUACACGUGCCUUUUCUGCCAACAGGAGGAAGAUCUUGGUUGCCCAUGAGAAAUCGUGCAUUGAGGUCUCAGGAGAAAAAUUUCAAUGCCUUAGACCCGGUGCAUGGUUAAAUGACGAGGUAAUAAAUUUGUACCUUGAAUUGCUAAAAGAAAGGGAGAGAAGAGAGCCCCAGAAGUUUCUGAACUGUCAUUUUUUCAAUACUUUUUUCUACAAGAAGUUAAUAAGUGGCAAGGGUGGUUAUGAUUUCAAAUCUGUGAGGAGAUGGACCAGCCAAAAGAAACUGGGAUAUGGCCUACAUGAAUGUGAUAAAAUUUUUGUUCCUAUCCAUAAAGAGAUCCAUUGGUGCUUGGCUGUUAUCAAUAAGAAAGAUAAGAAAUUUCAGUACUUGGAUUCACUGAAAGGAAUAGACACCCAUGUGAUGAAAGUUCUGGCUAGCUAUAUUGUAGAUGAAGUAAAGGACAAGACUGGAAAAGAUCUUGAUGUAAGUUCUUGGGAAAAGGAAUUUGUUGAAGACCUUCCUGAGCAGCAGAAUGGGUAUGAUUGUGGGGUUUUUAUGAUCAAAUACGCUGACUUCUAUAGCAGAAACUUGGGGCUGUGUUUCAACCAGGAACACAUGUCGUACUUCCGGCGCAGAACAGCUAAGGAAAUCUUGAGAUUAAGAGCUAACUAAGCUAAAGAAUGUUUUAUCUGUAUUUCCACAAUGGAUUUUUCUCAUCAGAAAACUGAAACAGUCAAUUACGUCAAAUCAGUUGAUCAAUUUCUGAUGAAGUAUCCUUCACUCCUGUCACUAUCUUGGCCAUAACCAUUCAAAAGUUCUGGCAUUUGUUAGAUUGUGGACUGGACUUAUUAUGCACAUCGUCCUGAUAUCCAGAGCCCUCGUAUCAGGCGAGUUAAGAGCAGUGAAGAAAACGGGGCAUUACUAAGGUUUUGAUUAUGUGAAGCAAUGUUAUGAAGCAUUUUAGAAUGUGUUUAGAACAACUAAUUUUAGGAGUUAGACUUUAUUUAUUAAGUAUAUAUAUUUUUCUUUUUCAGAAAUGUGUUUAAAAUAAAACUGAUUCAAUUUCAAAAUCUUUGGUAUAGUGAAUUCAAUUUCAAUUUAGAUU